CAUUAAUUUUGUGUGCAUCUUUCAUCUUUACAGUGUGCUACUGGAUUUAUGAUGAAAGUUCAAGUGAACGAUUGGAAAUACUAUCCUUGUUGCAGUACUGCCCGGAUUCAGGAUUUUCUUCAUCAAAGGUCUUUUCAGCAGAAUCAGAUAUCUGGAGGUUCACAUUCCAUUUAAAUGCGUUUUGGCCUUAUCAGGUGCUUCUUGAGACUCACUGAUAUCUCCAGAGCCAUUGUGAGCCAGAAACUUCCUCUAACCCUAUUCCCAAUACAACGUGGGAUCCCAAGCAGAAAAGACCAAAUGUUCUCAUUCUACCCUCUUGUGUGAAGAUUGGCAGCUUCAAUAAAUCUUUAGAUGGAUUUUCACAUUCAGUUUACUAAAUUAGUGAGCUGAAACAGAAGAUAACAGUUAUCAGAGAGCAGAAAAGGAUAUCAAUAGAAGAAAUCAGUACAAAAGAGAAUUCACCUGCCAGAAAUCUCAGAACUCUCAGUGAAGUCAGUGGAAAUGCCUG
rnacentral:lncRNA from 1 species